rnacentral:rRNA from 1 species
AGGAUGAACGCUGGCGGUGUGCCUAAUACAUGCAAGUCGAACGAAGCCCUCGGGCUUAGUGGCGGACGGGUGAGUAACACGUUGGUACCUACCCCGAAGUGGGGAAUAACUGCCCGAAAGGGUGGCUAAUACCGCAUAAUACCGCAAGGUUAAAGCAGUAAUGCGCUUCGGGAGGGGCCUGCGUCCCAUUAGCUUGUUGGUAGUGUAAUAGACUACCAAGGCGACGAUGGGUAGCUGGAUCGAGAGGUUGACCAGCCACACUGGGACUGAGAUACGGCCCAGACUCCUACGGGAGGCAGCAGUAAGGAAUCUUCCACAAUGGACGAAAGUCUGAUGGAGCAACACCGCGUGCAGGAUGACGGUCUUCGGAUUGUAAACUGCUUUUAUAUGGGAAGAUUAUGACGGUACCAUAUGAAUAGGACCGGCUAACUACGUGCCAGCAGCCGC